AACGAACGCUGGCGGCAGGCUUAACACAUGCAAGUCGAACGCCCGUAGCAAUACGGGAGUGGCAGACGGGUGAGUAACGCGUGGGAAUCUCCCCAAAGGUACGGAACAACUCAGGGAAACUUGAGCUAAUACCGUAUGUGCCCGAGAGGGCAAAGAUUCAUCGCCUUUGGAUGAGCCCGCGUUGGAUUAGCUAGUUGGAGGGGUAAUGGCCUACCAAGGCGACGAUCCAUAGCUGAUCUGAGAGGAUGAUCAGCCACACUGGGACUGAGACACGGCCCAGACUCCUACGGGAGGCAGCAGUGGGGAAUCUUGGACAAUGGGCGAAAGCCUGAUCCAGCCAUGCCGCGUGAGUGAAGAAGGCCUUAGGGUUGUAAAGCUCUUUUGCCCGGGAAGAUAAUGACGGUACCGGGAGAAUAAGCCCCGGCAAACUUCGUGCCAGCAGCCGCGGUAAUACGAAGGGGGCUAGCGUUGUUCGGAUUUACUGGGCGUAAAGCGCACGUAGGCGGU
rnacentral:rRNA from 1 species